rnacentral:rRNA from 1 species
AUUGAACGCUGGCGGCAGGCUUAACACAUGCAAGUCGAGCGGGGGAAGGUAGCUUGCUACCGGACCUAGCGGCGGACGGGUGAGUAAUGCUUAGGAAUCUGCCUAUUAGUGGGGGACAACAUCACGAAAGGGAGGCUAAUACCGCAUACGUCCUACGGGAGAAAGCAGGGGAUCUUCGGACCUUGCGCUAAUAGAUGAGCCUAAGUCGGAUUAGCUAGUUGGUGGGGUAAAGGACUACCAAGGCGACGAUCUGGAGCGGGUCUGAGAGGAUGAUCCGCCACACUGGGACUGAGACACGGCCCAGACUCCUACGGGAGGCAGCAGUGGGGAAUAUUGGACAAUGGGGGGAACCCUGAUCCAGCCAUGCCGCGUGUGUGAAGAAGGCCUUAUGGUUGUAAAGCACUUUAAGCGAGGAGGAGGCUACUCUAGUUAAUACCUAGGGAUAGUGGACGUUACUCGCAGAAUAAGCACCGGCUAACUCUGUGCCAGCCGCCGCAGUAA